rnacentral:lncRNA from 10 species
CUGCGAGUGCAGCGCUUUUUUGGAAUUCAGUUCUACAUCAGGUGGUGCAGUUUCAUCUUCUGAAUCCAAGAACGGAAGCACAAUGGGACCUGGGCAUCCAGUACUACUCACUCAGGAGCACAUAUGACCAGCCCCUCAGAGUCUCUGAGGUAGGAGGCAGGUGCAUCACCUUCCAGCCCCAUAGUCAGGUCCCGUGACUCCUUUGCCUGUGGGCUGUGCCAUCAUUGUGCCAC